rnacentral:rRNA from 1 species
GGCGAACGCUGGCGGCGUGCUUAACACAUGCAAGUCGAGCGGUAAGGCCCUUCGGGUACGACGAGCGGCGAACGGGUGAGUAACACGUGGGUGACCUGCCUCUAGCUCUGGGAUAAGCCUGGGAAACUGGGUCUAAUACCGGAUAUGACUCCACGGCGCAUGUUGUGGGGUGGAAAGCCUUGUGUGGCUAGAGAUGGGCCCGCGGCCUAUCAGCUUGUUGGUGGGGUGAUGGCCUACCAAGGCGACGACGGGUAGCCGGCCUGAGAGGGCGACCGGCCACACUGGGACUGAGACACGGCCCAGACUCCUACGGGAGGCAGCAGUGGGGAAUCCUGCGCAAUGGGCGAAAGCCUGACGCAGCGACGCCGCGUGAGGGAUGACGGCCU